GAUGAACGCUGGCGGCGUGCCUAAUACAUGCGAGUCGAGCGAACGGACGAGAAGCUUGCUUCUCUGAUGUUAGCGGCGGACGGGUGGGUAACACGUGGAUAACCUACCUAUAAGACUGGGAUAACUUCGGGAAACCGUAGCUAAUACCGGAUAAUAUUUUGAACCGCAUGGUUCAAAAGUGAAAGACGGUCUUGCUGUCACUUAUAGAUGGAUCCGCGCUGCAUUAGCUAGUUGGUAAGGUAACGGCUUACCAAGGCAACGAUGCAUAGCCGACCUGAGAGGGUGAUCGGCCACACUGGAACUGAGACACGGUCCAGACUCCUACGGGAGGCAGCAGUAGGGAAUCUUCCGCAAUGGGCGAAAGCCUGACGGAGCAACGCCGCGUGAGUGAUGAAGGUCUUCGGAUCGUAAAACUCUGUUAUUAGGGAAGAACAUAUGUGUAAGUAACUGUGCACAUCUUGACGGUACCUAAUCAGAAAGCCACGGCUAACUACGUG
rnacentral:rRNA from 1 species